rnacentral:rRNA from 1 species
UACACCGGGUGCGAGCGUUAAUCGGAAUUACUGCGCGUAAAGCGCACGUAGGUGGCGACGUAAGUCGGGUGUGAUAGCCCCGGGCUCAACCUGGGAAUUGCAUUCGAGACUGCAUUGCUGGAGUACGGAAGAGGAGGGCGGAAUUCCCGGUGUAGCGGUGAAAUGCGUAGAUAUCGGGAGGAACAUCAGUGGAGAAGGCGGCACUCUGGUCCAGUACUGACACUCAAGUGCGAAAGCGUGGGGAGCAAAAAGG